rnacentral:rRNA from 1 species
GACGAACGCUGGCGGCGUGCCUAAUACAUGCAAGUAGGACGCAGUUGCGAACGGGUGAGUAACGCGUAGGUAACUACCUAUUAGAGGGGGAUAACUAUUGGAAACGAUAGCUAAUACCGCAUACUAGUAGAUAGACCUGCGUUGUAUUAGCUAGUAGGUAGGGUAAUGGCCUACCUAGGCAACGAUACAUAGCCGACAUGGGAGGGGGAGUGGCCACACUGGGCGUGGGAAACGGCCCAGACUCCUUCGGGAGGCAGCAGUAGGGCAUCGUCGGCAAUGGGGGGAAACCUGACCGAGCAACGCGGCGUGCGUGAAGAAGGUUUUCGGAUCGUAAAGCUCUGUUGUUAAGGAAGCGGUACUUAACCAGAAAGGGACGGCUAACUACGUGCCAGCAGCCGCGGUAAUAC